rnacentral:rRNA from 1 species
GAUGAACGCUGGCGGCGUGCCUAAUACAUGCAAGUCGAGCGAACGGACGAGAAGCUUGCUUCUCUGAUGUUAGCGGCGGACGGGUGAGUAACACGUGGAUAACCUACCUAUAAGACUGGGAUAACUUCGGGAAACCGGAGCUAAUACCGGAUAAUAUUUUGAACCGCAUGGUUCAAAAGUGAAAGACGGUCUUGCUGUCACUUAUAGAUGGAUCCGCGCUGCAUUAGCUAGUUGGUAAGGUAACGGCUUACCAAGGCAACGAUGCAUAGCCGACCUGAGAGGGUGAUCGGCCACACUAGAACUGAGACACGGUCCAGACUCCUACGAGAGGCAGCAGUAGGGAAUCUUCCGCAAUGGGCGAAAGCCUGACGGAGCAACGCCGCGUGAGUGGUGAAGGUCUUCGGAUCGUAAAACUCUGUUAUUAGGGAAGAACAUAUGUGUAAGUAACUGUGCACAUCUUGACGGUACCUAAUCAGAAAGCCACGGCUAACUACGUG